rnacentral:lncRNA from 1 species
CAGAAAUCCAUACUGUUUGAAUGAAGAAGAACAGUGUGGUUGCAGAUUGCACAAUGUGAUAGUCCAGCCGCAGAUGGCUACAGGAAAACCAUGGUCACUCUGGAAAACAUGUCUAGUGUGUCUGUUGGCCUGCUUAAUUGCCUCGGCCAUUGCAGUUCUGGUCUUACAUUUUGGCCACUUCAACAAGCCCUUCAGCAAUACCACCAUCAUCAUUCAUACAGAUGGAAAGUCCAAUCAGGAUGCUGGAAUCCCUAAUCCUACCCUAUCUCCUGACUCAUUAACCUCAUCCGGACCUCAGAGCACCACAACCCCCACCCCUACAACCAGUCAAAGUACAUCUACUGACGUACCCACAACUUCCAUGGAGACAACUACCACCACAACUACCUCACCUACCACGACAACUACCUCACCUACCACCACAACUACCUCACCUACCACCACAACUACCUCACCUACUACGACAACUACCACACCUGUCCCCACAACUACAAUACAUGACGUUAUAAUUGAAUAUGAUGACGAGUUUUGAGCCCUCAGUCCUUCUCAAGCCAGAUCUAACCCUUUACCCCAAAGGGAGUGUGCCCUGCAUUCUCUCCUCUAGCUUUAUAAGGACUUGUUUCUCUUGUUUAAUGCUUUGCUGGCUUCUCAUAUGGUGAUGACUUAGUGUUG